GUAUCUUGAAGCCUACUUCAGAGUUUAAUUAUUUCUUAUUCACAUGAACCUCCCCCUUAUGGAGAAGAUGGCAAACAGGUAAAUUUUCUAGCUUCCUCCUAAAUUUUCUAACUUCCUUCUCACUCUCCAAGCUUGCCCAGAGCAUGAACUGUGCCUGGGUGGCUUUCUUCCCAUUUGGGAACCAUACAAAGCUGUGUCUGCAGGUAUUUUUAAAAUGGAAUCUAGUGGUGUUAAGUCUGAUUCAAUCAUUAACAAGAAAAUGUAAAAAGACAAGUGAACUGCUGCAGGUGACAACAAAUUUCUGGGCCGAUAGUGGGAAAUGAACAGCUGUGUCAUUGUAUUUAAGCUGAGAGCCUGAGGCAAAGGAAACCUGAAUCCUAAGGCAGGUGAGCAGCACCUGUGAGUUGUUGCUGUUGAUUUAUUUAACUUGUUGCUGGGGCCCACUGUACCUGAGCUGUCGAACAUGGUUACACUCAAUUGAUUUUCUUAGGGAUGUAAUACCUCCAAACCAAUAAACCCAGUGGUGAUCUGAGUUGAAAUAACCUCUAGUUUUUGUAAGCAUGUGGAUAAUGGAAAGACAUGUCACUCAGGUACUGCCAUAUUCCUUAUUGCCAAGUCUUCCAGCAGCAAAUAAAAAUCAUGCAUCUGUUCUUCCUUUCCAUUUUAUCUUUGCUAUUGAAACACACUGGCAGCAGAGAAGUUUUAUUUGGUCAUAAUAAUUUCACAGAAUAUCAAGUGGGCAACAUGAACCUGAUCCUCUCUGUCCCACAUGGUGGGUCAAUGGAACCUGAAGACAUCCCUGAUCGAGAGGCUGGCUGUUGGGAUGCAGAGACAUCUUCUUGUAUUUUCUCUCAUGACUGUCCUCCUGGAAGCAUUCAAGACUAUAAGAACUGCAAAGUGUCUACCAACCAAGACAGGUAUACCAUAGAAGUGGCUCAGGUUCUUGCUGAAGAAAUCAACAAGAUUACUGAUGGCUUCUUCCCACAUAUCGUUAUAAAUCACCUACAGAGGUUCAAGAUGGAUGCUAACAGGGAAAAGGAAGAAGCUGCCUUUGGAAUUCCCCAAGCAGAACAGGCCUGGGAGGAUUAUAUGGGAUUUUUGACCACUGCAAAAUCACUGAUGACAAGGGGCCUGAUUCUAGAUAUCCAUGGACAAGCACAUCCUGAACAGUGGAUAGAACUAGGCUACACAGUUUCAAAAACUUCCCUUAACUCUGGUGUCUUUUCUGCGUCAUGUUCCUCCAUUAGAUAUCUGGCCAAUCAGCUAGUUAGCGUGUCUUUUGAGACUCUGCUUGCAGGGAACAGAAGUUUGGGUAAAUAUAUUGAAGAACAAAAUAACAGUUAUGUUUGUGUGCCUUCUCCAUCCAAUCCUAGCCCCAGUAAUGGGAACUAUUAUAGUGGUGGAUACAUAACAAAGACUUUUGGCUCCCGUGAUUCUGGUGCCGUUGAUGCCAUUCAGAUGGAGCUACCCCAGUGGGUUAGGGCACCUGAAGAGCGUCUCAGAUUCUGUAAAGCAUUAGCAAGAGCUGUAAUGAAAUUCUGGCAAACUAAUUACUGUAGCCAGUCCAACCAUGAAUUUCUGCCAUGCUGAAAGAGACUGCCUUAAGAUACCUUUCCAUACUACAGUAAUGGUCUGGAACAACAAAACAACUGAUACACCUGUAACUCUUAAACCUGCAAUAUAAUUCCGGAUGCUGGAGGAGAGACACUAACCUCUAAAGACAGACAUCAUCAAGAUAAAAUUCACAGAU
rnacentral:lncRNA from 1 species